CCUACGGGCGGCAGCAGUGGGGGAUAUUGCACAAUGGGGGGAACCCUGACCCAGCAACGCCGCGUGAAGGAAGAAGGCUUUCGGGUUGUACACUUCUUUUAAGAGGGAAGAGCAGAAGACGGUACCUCUUGAAUAAGCCACGGCUAACUACGUGCCAGCAGCCGCGGUAAUACGUAGGUGGCAAGCGUUGUCCGGAUUUACUGGGUGUAAAGGGCGUGUAGCCGGGCUGACAAGUCAGAUGUGAAAUCCGGGGGCUCAACCCCCGAACGGCAUUUGAAACUGUUGGUCGUGAGUAUCGGAGAGGCAGGCGGAAGUCCUAGUGUAGCGGUGAAAUGCGUAGAUAUUAGGAGGAACACCAGUGGCGAAGGCGGCCUGCUGGACGACAACUGACGGUGAGGCGCGAAAGCGUGGGGAGCAAACAGGAUUAGAUACCCCGGUAGUC
rnacentral:rRNA from 1 species